UUCAGAUUUCAUGGUUAAUGUUGUAUGAGCGUGUAUGUAUGUGUGUGUUGUAUGUGUGCAUAUGUAUUUUUAAAAGAAACUUUCAUUUUCAGUAGUUGAUCCUAAAUUUCAUAAACUGCACUUCUUUACUCUGGUAAAAUGGAUGUUUUUGUGCUUAUUGUGAAUUGCAAUAGUUAACUUUGAAUGUCAAAUUUUAUUUAGAAAUACAUAAGCUUACACUUUAAGAUAUGUGUUCAUUGUAUGUAUCCAAUAUUUCAUGUUCAGUUUCACAUGCUAAAUUAAUGAAAGUAACUUGAUUAUAACUAACUUUAGAAAAGUCAGUUGUCUAAAUGCAAUAAACAUUAAUUGUUAAAAGAUGUCAUAAGUAACUUGAAAUUUUCAUUUACUUUCAAUAGCACAUAGUCCCAUCAUUACUAGAGUUUCUUUCCAUUUAGGCACUACAGGAUAAUGGUUUAAAACUCCCUCAAAAGAAAAGAAGACAAAAGAUUGAAGAGGCGCUGUGUUCAGGAUAAAACAAAAAUAUGUUCUGGUAGCAUCUCUCUUACCAUUCUGUUUUCUUGUCUGUUUUGUUAACUCAUUACAAUCCUCAGAGCAAAGGAAACAAUACACCAAAUGAAAUUGCUUUGAAAGAAAAUGAAACAGUACUUUGGAAGGUUGGUCUAGGUAUCACCUUUGAGACAACUUUUAUGUCACAGCAAAAAUGUUGGUGCUAUAAAUUCUUCUGGUUGUUAACUGAGAUUGAGUUUGCUUUUGGUCCAAAGUUUGCAUGAUAUAUGUUAAGUACUUAAAAAUAUCUCUUUAUAAGAUCUACUACUAUUUAGUAUAAAUUGAUUUGAUUUGAUGUCAUUUUUUUUCACUGUAAACUCAGCUUACUCAGAUUAAAACUUACACCAAUACAUAUUCCACAGGCCAGUUCCAUGUGAAAGUGUUGAAACAUAAGCAGUCAUUAUGGGUUGAGGUAUAUAAGUAAUAACCAGUGAAGUUAAUAGGUCCUUCAAAUAUUGUAUAGGUACGCUAAAAUUAUUUCACCUGGAUAUUGAUAGUUUAAGGAAUUUCCUGUCACAUUCACACAAUUUCUCCAAAAUAACUUAGUAUUUCAAAACAUGAUAAUUGGGCCAAGUGAUGGGGGCUUAAGCCGUUAGUCCCAGCACUUGGGAGGCAGAGCUAUGACUUCAAGGCCAGCCAGCCUGGUCUUCAAAGCAAGUUCUGGGACAGCCAAGGCUACUCAAAGAAAACCAUGUCUCAGAAAAAAAAAAAAAAAAAAAAAAAAAAAAAAAAAAAAAAAAGGAAGGAAGGAAGGAAGGAAGGAAGGAAGGAAGGAAGGAAAAAGCCAGAUGAGAAUCAUGUGGUUGGUUGGGCUCAUCAGGAUGGUGAACAGAUCAUGUGAUUUUACUAUAGUUACAAAGUGGCUGGAGGUAGAGUACCUGAAAAUGUACAUUUGUGUUUGAUGUAUUUUUUCACAUUUUG
rnacentral:lncRNA from 1 species